CAGUCGCCGCGGUAAUACGUAGGGUGCGAGCGUUAAUCGGAAUUACUGGGCGUAAAGCGUGCGCAGGCGGUUCGUUAAGACAGAUGUGAAAUCCCCGGGCUUAACCUGGGAACUGCAUUUGUGACUGGCGAGCUAGAGUAUGGCAGAGGGGGGUAGAAUUCCACGUGUAGCAGUGAAAUGCGUAGAGAUGUGGAGGAAUACCGAUGGCGAAGGCAGCCCCCUGGGCCAAUACUGACGCUCAUGCGCGAAAGCUAGGGGAGCAAACAGGAUUAGAGACCCCCGUAGUCCCUGUCUCUUAUAC
rnacentral:rRNA from 1 species